ensembl:lncRNA
AUGGACGAAUUAAUCUUUUUUCUGAGGGAAAGGAAUAUUCCAGAAACCACCAUAAAAAGGCUGGAGGACGACAAGAUUGAUGUCAGUGUCCUACUGCUAAUGACUGAUGACCAGAUGAGAAGCUAUUUUCCUUCAUAUGGAGACAGACUCGCAGUGAUGGGGUUUUGCAGGAGGCAAGAAAGUGAGCCAACUUGCAGGAAGUCAAAGCUGUUUGAGCGCCUCAAAUCAAAAUUGAGCAAAAGACAAAAAACUGACAGUUCACAAACUGAAACCCAAACAACUAGAAAAAACAAUUCUCAGCGUACUGUAAGAAAAGUUGAGAUUGGGUGGAUGCACUAUGAUGGGCAGGGCUUUGUUCAAAUGAGAGCAAAAAAAGGAGGGGGAACAAGGAAGUUGAGUGUGCCAAAAGACUGGAAAAGGGACGAACUGAUGGAGGAGGCAAUUCGUUUGUUUUUCCCAAAUGGAAAAAAUUCUCAUGGGAGUAUUUCUGAGUUUGAAUUGGAUCUAACAAAUUAUCAGGAAGUGUCACUAGAUAAAGAAAGUACAGUGGGGGAAAUGUAUAAUGCAUCCAAGCUCACAAUGAUGAGGUUCUACCUGACAACAAAAAAGGUGGAGAGGGAAGAGGAAACAGAAAGUGAAGUGGAAAUAUCAGACACAAUGGACAACUUACACAGUAAUAACCAGGAUCAAAGUCUUCCCACUUUUAGCAGAAUGAAUGACUUCUUUCAAGCUUCAGACACGGAUGUAAUUUUUGUGGAAAGUCCAGGCAAUGAUGCUGUAUCUCUCUUGCAUUCCACCGAGGAUCUGAAUGUUGCAGAUGAUGAUCUGAAUGUUCCUUUUCAAAGUUCUUCAAUGACCUUACCAGAUUACUCAGAUACAAGCGAUGUAAUGACAGUAUUCACUGGUGACAUCACUGGGAUAGAUGGACAAAACUUAGAUGACACUUUGCCUCUGAGCCCAGAACCCAUUGUUCCACACAAAAAAAUUCUUGUUGUUCAUCGCGGACAGAUAUUUUCUGAACUUAUUGCACAUUUCUGUGAUGAAACCCUUCCACAUACACAGAGUGAAGUAGAAGUGAAGUUGCUCCUCCCAAAUGGACAGUUUGAGAUGGGCCAUGAUGUUGGUGGAGUGUUCAGGGAUUGCCUAUCAGAGUUUUGGCAGGAAUUCUAUGAUCAAUGCACGCUGGGGAACAAUUUUAAAGUUCCCUUUCUUCGACAUGAUUUUGGCAAAGAAAAGUGGGAAAGUGUAGCCCGGAUAAUUCUGUUCGGCUGGAAUAAAGAGAAAUAUCUCCCAAUAAAACUUGCACCUGCAAUCUUGCAGCAAGCAAUAAAAGGAUCUGUAAAAAGUGAUCUGAUUGAGAACUUUUUGAAAUAUGUCUCAGAAAAUGAGUGUGCUGUGUUAGAAAGCUGCAGAACAGACUUCUGUAAUGCAGACCAGGAGGAAUUGCUUGAGAUCUUAGACAACUACAGUUGUCGGAGAAUUCCAACAGAAGAAAACUUCAAGCAAAUUUUGCAAGAACUGGCACAUAAAACUCUCAUUCAAGAGCCUGCUUAUGUUCUUGAACAGUGGGCAGGCAUACUUGGACCUCUGAGCAAGGACCUUGAGGAAAUUGAAGAUGUGUACUGUGCAUUACAACCAACGGUGAGGAAAAUUGUGCGAUCUCUCAAAUUUCCUGAAACAAUGAAUAUACACCAAAAGGACAUUUCAAAGCACUUGACAACUUACUUGAGGGAGUGUGAUGCAAAACGACAGUCUCUGUUUCUUAGAUUCUGUACAGGAUCAGAUUUGUUUAUAGGCAAAACUAUAACAGUUGAUUUCACAGACCUUAAAGGGUUUGAGAGAAGACCGGUGGCACACACCUGUGGCUGUUUCCUGAGGCUUUCAGUGCACUAUGACAACUACCCAGAUUUCAGGUCUGAAAUGAACAAAAAUUCUUGA